GGCCAGCUGACCCCCCGCUGGAGUCUGCAUCACUUUGCCCGAGGCAGUGAUGCAUCACUUUGCCCGAGGCACCCUGCCCCACCCCCCUGCCACAGGAGCAGCUCUGCAGCAGAGACCACUGAGAGCAGAGCCCGGAGGCAUUCCUAAAGACUGCAGGAUUUGGUACCAAGAGUGGGGCUGGAAGCAAUUCCCAGUACCCAGCCAGCAGAGUCUGGAAGCGGAUCCAGGGUCAGCGUCGGAAUGUUCGCUGACAGGCCCCGGAGGGCCGUCCCGCUGAACGUGCCCACAGGCAGCUGGGCGUGCCGCGUGGGAGCCCAGGACGGUGGCCGCUGGGGACAGCUGUGGAUGGUGGCUGAGGUCACCGGAGAGGCCCAGAGCUCCGGCCCAGGCACGAGGCGCAGCAGGAUGGCCCGGUUUCUGCCUUGGAGGGGCUGACGGUCUCGGGGGAAGACGCUGAGCAGCAACAAUGGCAGCAGCAAUACCACAUCCCAGGCUCCCUGUGUUUGAAGUCCUGUCGCCUCUCCAGGACCUGUUGGUCAGCCGCACAUUCCAGGAGAGGCUGCUACCGAAAGGGGAAUGGGAACAGAAACGACUGUUGACAUGGGAGUAGCCGGAGAGGAGCCCUCGGGAAUGAACAGGGACUCCGGGCAUGCCCGGCCCCUCCCGGCUGGGGCACAGUCACAAACAGCAGGAUUCCCUGAGAAUAAACGUCUGCUGGUUUCCGCUGUGAUCCGCGCCCACUCCUGCUCCAUCCAAUAAUGAGAACCUGUGCCAGUCUGUUCAGGCUGCUGUGACAAAAACACCAUGGACUGGGUAAUCUGUGCACAGAACAAAUUUAUUGCUCGCCGUGCUGGGGGCUGGAGAGUCUGGGCUAAGGGACCAGCGGAUUCGCCUGCGGCUGGUGCGAGCUCUUUGCUCCGUGGGCGCCGCCGCCUCGCUUUGUCCACGCGUAGCAGAGGGGCCCGCACGUUCUCUCGGGCCUUUCUUACAAGGCCGCCGUCCUGAUCACGAGGGCUCCACUCCUGUGACUUAAUCCCCUCCCCGCAGGCCCUGCCUCGGCACACCAUCGCACUGGGGGUUAGGUUUCAGCAUGAAUUUUGGAGGAGGCACAACCAUUCAGAGCACAGCAAGACCCCUCACCUGAAAACUCGCUACGGGGUAUCGUCGCCGUUCUGGUUUGCCUAUUUCUGGAAAGGCAGAGCAAAACGAGAGCAAGAAAAGGAUAUUACUAACACUCCAUUUCAGCUUGUUUCUUUUUAACAGUCUAAUAAGUACUCCGCGAAGAGCGCUUUGCCCGUUGGAGACUGGUGCAGUCCUUUGCUGGUGGGCUGGAGAGCACGCCGUGGCCUUGGACCUGUGGCGGUGACUGGGUGCACGGGGGAUUCUUUCUCCUUAAUUUUCAUGAGGAAUUAAGGAAGGGCGUGUGUCCUUUGGGACAGGCACCCUGUGAGGAAGCCUGAGCCGGCUACUUGGAGAGGCGACGUGAAGGAGAACUUAAGUGCCAUAGCUCACAGCCCUGCCCAGCUGCCCUAUGUGUGGCCAUCCAGGACUGGCCAGUCCCCUGCUGACCUUGCAACUCAAUACAAAGACAACACUCAAGCAGCGUGCUGUGAGCAGAGGUGAAUGGAAUAGCUGUCGUACAUCCACAUGAUGGAAUACUACUCAGUACUAAAAAGAAAUAGACCAUUAACACGUGCUACAACAUAGAUGGAUCGCAGGAUAACUGUGUUGUGUGAAAGAAGCCAGCAACAGAAAACUAACACGAGUGUCGAUCUGGACGUGGGGCGCGGCCGUGACAAAUACCUAAAAAGGCGGCUGGUUUUGGAGCUCAGCAGUGGACAGAGAAGCGUGACAGAGAAAGGUGAUGGAGAGACUGCGGUGAGCAGAGAUCUGGACAGUAAGGACAGUGCAGGCGAGGCCUCCGAGGAAGGAGUAUCGGUUGUGUUUCAGCAGGACAGAGGAUCACGUCGCUCAGACCACUGGACGCACGCGAAUUGCUGCCAUUAUCGCUGCAGCUUAUCCCGAUUAAGUGGAAUCAGGCAGAAAUCUCCACCCGCAAGUCCUUUCUUCUCAUCCUGCCCCACCGGCCGCCUCGCCCUGAUGAGAAGUGAAAGAGAAAACUCCGGUUUUCACUGUAUACCUGUUGGUACCUUUCGAAUCCCGUGCCACAGCUCUGCACUGCCUACCCCGCAAGGCGGACAAAGAGAACAGGCUGCUCGAGAAGGUGACUUAGGGCCGCAGGCACACAUCGGCAGAGCACAGGGCCCAGCACAUCUUCCUGCUGGGGCGAAAGAACGCGGGGUCCCUGGAGGGCCCCCAGCCCCUUGUCAGUUUCACCGUCUGAGAUGUGUCCAGGAAGCCCAGUUACCGGCACCGGGAAGGGGUUGGCAGAGAACGGCGCGGCCGAGUUGCUCCCACAGCCUCUCCUUGUGGGUCCCCGGAGGCCGAAGACCCAAGGGCACGCCGGGGUGGGAGGAGGACCUCAUUGCGAGACCCCCAUGGCUCCCUCCCGGUCCCUGUUUCCUGAGCGGUGGGACGGGCACCUGGGACGGAGAUAACGCUGUCCCGUUUCACCAGGAGUGUGGGCUGUGCGCAACAGAGACUCCCGUCCUGCCCUCCCACCACUCACAGCCUCGCGGCCGGCCACGUCUCUCACCCGAGAGCGCAGCCACUGAAUACGGCGUCACUGCCGCUGCUGUGAACAGAUGCAGAUUUGUUAGAUCACUGAAGAAUAAGACAAUGAAAGAUUUUAUUUUCCCAUCAUUUAUUCAUUCCCUUGUACAGCUUUCUUUUCCUUCCUUUCCCUUUCUUUCUUGUGGUGGGAACGUGUAGGGGUCGAGGGGAAAGUUCCUCUUCAUCCACUGAAAAUCACUGACGUGAGGCAGAUGGAUGGGAGGAAAGGCAAACAAAUUAAUUCACCACGCAUGCCCAGGAGCCUGCAGAACGGGGACCCGGCCCCCGGUGAGGUGCGGAAGCUCGAGGCUGCAGAAAGAACGGGGGCUCGGAGCAUCGCCCCAAACAGGUGAUGGGGGCAAAUCAGGUUUAGUGGCAGGACAGGCUGUGGGGAGGAGGGGAGAGGAGAGGAGGCCUGGCCAGCGAAGGUGGUCCUGGAGUGCAGAGGAAACGCACAGGAAGCAGCCCUCGGAGAGAAUAGAUGGUAGGUGUUUCUUUUCAGACCUUUAAUUGUGUCAGACUCCCAUUUAGCCUUUCCUGGAUCUGGGCGAGGGAAGGCCUGGCCGCAUCAGUGCGGAUUCUCCAUAGAUGCAAAUUACAGACAAAGGAGUGGAAAAACCAGCUGGGAUAAGCAUAAUGAAGAAUAAUUUAAAUAUGUCAUCCCAUAUCCUUAGUCCCGAGACCAGAUCAGCUCAGUUAGACACCUGUGUCCCAUUCCAGCAGGGGGCACUGCAGGUGGGCUAGGCCCCUGUAUGUGACACAGGCAAACGGGUCUCUAAUAAGGGGCAUUUCUAUGGAGAAAGGGAAGAAAAACAAAGGCUAUUUGUCUGGAGUCAUCUACGGACUAGUUUUCUAGAAUUUACGAAGCAUCUUCAGGUUGCAGUGGCAACUUGGCAGAUUUUUCUGGAUUUUCGUUUGAAUCAGAUGUUUAAGUGAACUUUCUGCGUGGUCCACACCUGAGCAGGCACACAGGCUGUUUCCAUAAUAAGUUGCUGUGAUUUUGUUAGGUAGACGGCGAGGGAUUCCACGUCUCCCAGGGACGAAGGUCAGCAACCUUGUAAAGGGACCGCAUAGACAAGGUACCAGGCCAAUCUCUCCAACAGGCUUUUACCAGCUCUAAAAGGUCAACUUCAGUCUCUCAAAGCAGUCUGGUCAUAUCUGAAGAUACACUGUUGGCAAAACGACCGAUGCCUCCAAUUGUGUCCUGUUGCAAAAGGAAACAGUGGAAAAUCUAGGAAGUAAGCAAUUAUAGUUAUGCACCAUAUGCAGAUCUGAAGACAAAGGACAGGGCUGCGGAGGUGGUGCCUGCAGGAUCCGGUCCUCCCCAGCAUGGCCAAGAGACGCAGGAGUCUAAAGGAUCCCUCUUCUCGCCACUGACAAUUAGAAUUUCCGACGCUGCACGUAUUCCGACCAUGACUCAACCCAGACAGGCUCUUCAAAGGGGAGGCAGUCCUCAAGACCCUGCCCUCCACAGUCACUCCCCGACAGACGGAGGCCGAGAGAGUAGAAGACUCUCGUCACAGACAGUCAGGGAUGGUGUUUGCCUGCAGCGGCCCACGGACUUUUUGGGGGGCUGCCCCGAGCAGGCCUGCUAGUCUGUGGUGCUGGGCAGGCUCCCCUGGGACGGGACGUCCCGCAGGACUCACCCGGCAACAAGAGGUGAGAUGACAGCAGCCCCUCAGGGACGGGACUUAUCAAGACAAACUUUCCCGAGAGCUUAACGUAUCAUGAGCAAAAAAAAGUCUCAUGUUCUGAGCCGUUUUCAGACUGGCCACCUGGCACGACUGGAAAAUCACACCCCCGGGACAGCAAAAACCAAAAGUGUAAACACGACAACAGUGGCCCGGAGAAGCCCACACCAAACUCGGGAGGAUGAAACUCGUGUUCCCUACGGGGAGAGGACGCCCUGGGGUGGGGAGCAACAAAGCAGCCCCGUCCCGAAUACUCCCGUUUCUUUUACGAAAACUGUCAAGUGACUGUGACUAAACAUGAACGCCUAUGUCGGUUCUAGAAGGCGGCUGUGUAAGUGUUUGGUACAGACGCCGUUCUCUCCACGCCUGUGUGUCUUCUUCGCUUCCGGGAAAAGGGAGGAACGGGCAAGCCGGGCUGGGCCGGGCGUGCAAGUCCGCAGUGCAAGUCCGCAGAGCCCGGGCACUGGCGCCAGGCGACUUGCCUUGCCACCUGCCGGCUCUCUGUUUGAUGUGGGGCACGCUGCUGCCCCUCUCUGCCCCUGAGCGCCCCCACCUGUGGAGGGAGGGGCGUGCAGCUUCAAGGUAGCUUGCUGCUGUGUCCUCCCCAGCAUCUGUUUGGUGGAACAGACCAGACUAGAUCAGACAACGCAAGAGUACACCAGCUGCCAGGGGCUGGGAAGGGGCGUGGGGAGUUAGUGCUUAAUGGGUACAGAGCUUCUGUUUGGGGUGAUGAAAACGGUCUGGAGAUGGGUGUCGGUGAUGGCAUUGCAACGGUGUGAAUGGACUGAAUGCCACUGAACUGUAUUCCUAAGAAAAUGAAUUAAAACAGUACAUUUCAUGUUAUGUAUAUUUUAGUACAAUGCAAAAUAAAGAGCGUGCGUUGCAACAAGCAA